GGGAAGCUCAUGAUGGAGAUGGAGGUGAUUAUGGUGAUGGUAGUGGUGGAGAUGAUGUAAGUGAUUAUGGUGGUGAUGGGAGCUGAUGAUGGAGAUGAUGAAGGUGAUUAUUGUGAAGAUGAUGGUGAAGAUAGUGAUGAUGGAGAUGAUGAAGGUGAUUUAAGGUGAAGGUCAAGAUAGAGAUAGUGAUGAUGGAGGUGAUUAUGGUGGUGAUGGAGAAGGUGGUGAUGGAGCUGAUGAAGGUGAUGAUGGAGAUGAUGAAGGUGAUUUAAGGUGAAGGUCAAGAUAGAGAUAGUGAUGAUGGAGGUGAUUAUGGUGGUGAUGGAGAAGGUGGUGAUG
ensembl:lncRNA